GAUGAAGAACGCAGCGAAAUGCGAUAAGUAAUGUGAAUUGCAGAAUUCAGUGAAUCAUCGAAUCUUUGAACGCACAUUGCGCCCGCCAGUAUUCUGGCGGGCAGGCCUGUUCGAGCGUCAUUUCAACCAUCAAGCCCCCGGCUUGUGUUGGGGACCUGCGGCUGCCGCAGGCCCUGAAAACCAGUGGCGGGCUCGCUAGUCACUCCGAGCGUAGUAAUACAUCUCGCUCAGGGCGUGCUGUGGGUUCCGGCCGUUAAAAAGCCUUAUUUACCCAAGGUUGACCUCGGAUCAGGUAGGAAGACCCGCUGAACUUAAGCAUAUCAAUAAGCGGAGGA
rnacentral:misc_RNA from 1 species